CCUACGGGAGGCAGCAGUGAGGAAUAUUGGUCAAUGGCCGUAAGGCUGAACCAGCCAAGUCGCGUGAAGGAAGAAGGAUCUAUGGUUUGUAAACUUCUUUUAUAGGGGAAUAAAGGUAUCCACGUGUGGCUAUUUGCAUGUAACCCAUGAAUAAGCAUCGGCUAACUCCGUGCCAGCAGCCGCGGUAAUACGGAGGAUGCGAGCGUUAUCCGGAUUUUUUGGGUUUAAAGGGUGCGUAGGUUGUUUUUUAAGUCAGCGGUGAAAGUUUGUGGCUCAACCAUAAAAUUGCCGUUGAAACUGGAAGACUUGAGUGUGUUUGAGGUAGGCGGAAUGCGUGGUGUAGCGGUGAAAUGCAUAGAUAUCACGCAGAACUCCGAUUGCGAAGGCAGCUUACUAAGCCAUAACUGACACUGAAGCACGAAAGCGUGGGGAUCAAACAGGAUUAGAUACCCCAGUAGUC
rnacentral:rRNA from 1 species